CGGGUGGUAAUGCCGGAUGCUCCAGUUGAUCGCAUGGUCUUCUGGGAAAGCUUUCGCGGUAUGGGAUGGGGUCGCGUCCUAUCAGCUUGACGGCGGGGUAACGGCCCACCGUGGCUUCGACGGGUAGCCGGCCUGAGAGGGCGACCGGCCACAUUGGGACUGAGAUACGGCCCAGACUCCUACGGGAGGCAGCAGUGGGGAAUAUUGCACAAUGGGCGCAAGCCUGAUGCAGCGACGCCGCGUGAGGGAUGGAGGCCUUCGGGUUGUAAACCUCUUUUAUCGGGGAGCAAGCGAGAGUGAGUUUACCCGUUGAAUAAGCACCGGCUAACUACGUGCCAGCAGCCGCGGUAAUACGUAGGGUGCAAGCGUUAUCCGGAAUUAUUGGGCGUAAAGGGCUCGUAGGCGGUUCGUCGCGUCCGGUGUGAAAGUCCAUCGCUUAACGGUGGAUCCGCGCCGGGUACGGGCGGGCUUGAGUGCGGUAGGGGAGACUGGAAUUCCCGGUGUAACGGUGGAAUGUGUAGAUAUCGGGAAAGAACACCA
rnacentral:rRNA from 2 species